CUUUUUAAAUAUUAGAAAAAGGAAGAAUUUGAGUGAAUGCCCCUGCUAACAGGUACUUAAGGAUUUUAUUUCGCCCUUGAUACCUCCGGUGUUCUUCUUCUCGGUGUAAAGGAAAUAGGUCGGUUCGUGGGACAAGGGCGAGUUCCGAAGUGGCUCUAAUGCCAUUACAAGGGGAAAGUGAAAGGAAGUUUGCGGUGGUGAAGAAAUCCAGUGAUCCCCACAACGAUUUCAGGACUUCAAUGGUGGAAAUGAUCGUGGAGAAACAGAUCUUCUCGGCUAAAUAUCUUGAGCAGCUUUUGCAGUGUUUUUUGUCACUGAAUUCACACCAUCAUCAUAAGGUCAUCGUUGAAGUUUUCACAGAGAAAUGGUAAGCACUGUUCUCUAACUGGGGAUCUGAAAAAACAAAGAAAAAAAGAAAAAAGGAAAGGGAAAAAAAAAGAAAAAAGAAAAAAAGACUCUUCUCUAUUUUCUUCUCUGUGACUCUGCCAUUUGUGUUUUUUAAUUAAUGGUUAGAAUUCUAACUUCGAUAGACUAAUUAGUGUAUUAUCCUCGAUUUUCCUACCACCCAAUAGCUACCUUUCUGGGUUUAUUAUGGUGGUGAAUCAUAUUUUUGUUUUAACAUGGAAAGGACUAUGAAAUGGACUUUUAAUUUUCUUUUAAUUUUCUACUUUGUUGAUAAUAAAAACAAUCCUGCUGCUCAUGGUGUUUCACGAGCAGAUUUCAUAGCCUUUGUUGAUCAUGACCACUGGUGGAUGGUUAAAUUUGGUUCUAUAAAUUUUGCAGGAAGAAGUUCAGUUUCUAAUGAAUCCUGCAGUGAAUAGGCAUCCAAACUUUGGUGAAAUUGAUUGGUUAUUGCUGUGAAAAAGAAGUGAGAGGUGUGGUUUAUGACCUUAACCCAAAGGACACUUUGCACAAUUUGACCCUAGCGGGUACAUAUUUACACAGCAAAAUCCACACAAUUUUUUGAUAUUGUCAAUUUCAUAUCAUUGAAAUCUUUAAUAGAAGGUUUUUGCUAAUGUUAUAGACACCUUGACUUGAGCAAAUAUAGGACAUAUACCUAUAAAAAAUAAAAUAAAAACAAAUUACCAAGAAAAAUAUAAAUAAAAAUAAACAAUGAUAUAGAUGGAUUAUGGUUAAAAUUAGCACGUUUGAUAUGUAUUAUUACUAUUGGUACGGUUUUUUUUUUUUUCUUUUUUUUUUUAACUAGAUAUAACUUUCUAGAAUAGACGAAGAUGGGGAGGAAAAAAAAAAAUUAUAUAUAUAUAUAUGUUCAUAUUACAUUCUUAGGAGUUAGGACCACGUUUUAUUUGCUAUAGUUCCACCAGAUAAGUUGGGACUUAAUAAAGGAUGAGCAAGGUGUCUCUGUGUUUGUCUGCCAUGUUUCACUGGCUAUGUUUAGUGGGUGCUUUACUAAAAUCCAUUUAAUGGUGAAGCAAUAAUAGAGUUUCUUCUAUCUCUGUCUCUCAAUAUAAACAAGAAAUCUGUGAGAGUAUCGAAAACCCAAGAAGUAAGUUAAAAAAAAAAAAAUAAAGAAAAAAAUGGCGGAAGAGAGUAGAGAGAUGCUGCUAAACAAGGUGGUUUACUAUGAGAAUUGCCCAGGUUGUAAGGUGGAAUAGUAUAAAGAGACACAACGUGGUUUAUCAAUUCGAGACCUUCUUUUUAUUGGGAUUGUUGUGUUGUGUAAUGGUAUGCUUUUUCUUAUUCUUCUACUGUUUGUUAUUUAUUUAUAUAUUAUUACUAUUUUUUGGCUUUUGGCAUUUCAAAGCAUUGUUGAAUGUUGAUCAUAUUGAUGUUUUGUUUGAUUUAUUGCAUCUGUGAGUGUGUAUUUUGUUCUCUGCUACAUGUUUUCUACUGUUAGAUUACUGGUGGAUGAAUUUGAUGCUGCACUUUGGAAGGUAAGGAAGUAGCAAAAGGAUCCAAUGAAGAUCCAACAAACAUCUUUAACUUUUAUUCAGUUUUUGUCCUUGUGAAUAUUUAACUUUUUUGGAAUUGGUGUUUACUCUAUGUAACUUGUUGUUUACUUUAACAGGUUUCCUAAAUUUGUCUAUUUGGUUGUGUGUUUACAUUGUAUAGGAACUUGGCAUUCAUAGUUUUUGUGCGUUCUUGUUCUGAAAGCUUGGUCUAGAAUAUGUCAGGUAAGAAAGAAGAGAAAGUUCAGGCUACAGCUAAAAGAAUUUAGGCUGCAGCCUUCAGUGCAGCAAAUGGUCUUAGUAGAGCUCAGGCAGAGAGCUGCUGCAGCUGCAGCCCAAAAUAUUAAUGCAUAUGUAUUGUGAACAAAACUCUUGGAAGCUUGCCCCAGUAGCAAGCUCUGUGGCUGAAAAGGGAGGAUUCAAAGCCUACGUGAUGGAGGUCUAAGGAAGUCACGUUUACAGCAAAUUAAAAUACGAGUUUGGAGUUCAUGGGGCUCAAGGUUGACACCGACUGUUAUUAUGUUUUCAUUCAAUUUGUAACUAUGAUUGAUUUAGUUUAUAUGUCAAUAAAUUCUCCUAGCAAAACUCAAGUAGGCUGUUUCAUAUUGAUUUCUCUUUUUGGUUUGAUAUAAUGCGUGUUUCUAAAGUUUGAUUUAAUCAUUCUGUGUAAUCUUCUCUCUUUGUAA